UUCCGGUUGAUCCUGCCGGACCCCACUGCUAUCGAGAUGGGACUAAGGUAUGCUAGUCGAACGACCAGAACUAUGUCUGGGAGUGGCACACUGCUCAGUAACACGUAGCUAACCUACCCUUAGGACGUGGAUACCCCCGAGAAAUUGGGGUUAAUCCGCGAUAGAUGUAAUGUCCUGGAAUGGUAUUACGUCUAAAGGUAUUUCAUACAUGUUUGAAAUAUGCCUAAGGAUGGGGCUGCGGCCGAUCAGGCUGUUGGUGAGGUAAUGGCUCACCAAACCUUUAACCGGUACGGGCCAUGAGAGUGGUAGCCCGGAGAUGGACACUGAGACAAGGGUCCAGGCCCUACGGGGCGCAGCAGGCGCGAAACCUCCUCAAUGCACUAACGUGCGAAGGGGUUACCUCGAGUGCCACCUGAAGAAGGUGGCUUUUCCUUGGUCUAAAAAGCCUCGGGAAUAAGAGGGGGGCAAGACUGGUGUCAGCCGCCGCGGUAACACCAGCCCCUCGAGUGGUGGGGAUGAUUAUUUGGCCUAAAGCGUCCGUAGCCGGCCGGGUAAGUCUCCCGUUAAAUCCAGCGUCUCAAGCGUUGGACUGCGGGAGAUACUGCCUGGCUAGAGAGUGGGAGAGGUCAGCGGUAUUCUGGGGGUAGGGGCGAAAUCCUUUGAUCCCCGGAGGACCACCAGUGGCGAAGGCUGCUGACUAGAACACGUCUGACGGUCAGGGACGAAAGCUGGGGUAGCGAACCGGAUUAGAUACCCGGGUAGUCCCAGCCGUAAACGAUGCAUGCUAGGUGUUGGGUUGGCCACGAGCCACCCCAGUGCCGCAGG
rnacentral:rRNA from 1 species